GUUUCUAGCAGCGGAGCACUGGACCCAGUGCCCCUAACGGUUAGCCCAGCCAACACCAGCAACAGGUCCUCUGAGCUGGAGGAAGAUGGUGGUCCAGUGCCUAGCACCGGCAGAGUGGCGGCUGCCACAGCCCAUGAUCCAGAGCCUCAACUAAAUGUGGAUAACACAGUGGAUGUGGAUAACGCAGAAAAAGCAGCCACGAGAGCAGCAGGGCGCCUGGAUGGUUCUUUGGAGAUGCACACUAAAAAGGAUGACAUCUUGGAUAACUCUUCAGGGCAGCUGAGAGAGAGCAGAGAGAGAUCAAAUUCAAAUGAAGUGAUGAUUCAUGGAUGGAUGUGUAGACAGGUGGGAUUAGAGGCUUGCAGGCAGUGUCAGUAAAGCAAGGGUGGACCCCCUGGAACUCUCUAAUUGACACUGGAUGUUCCCUGAAACCACGAUCUUGAUUAUAUCACACAUUUUAAAUAACAACAGUUUGUCAGACAACGACCCAGCUCUCCUCAAGCUUAGACUUACUGAAGAAAGAGAAGAUGGAUCACAUGCAGAUGACAAUGUGUUGGUCUCUGUUCUUGCCAAAACAUCCUGAUGAUAUUAUAAUGUUUCUGAGUUUCUCUUUAUAUGGAAUCUGCUUUACAGCUGCUGUGUCUGCAGGCAUUUUAACAACCUGCUGAUUUCAGUAAUGAGUUCAUCUGGUCUAACGGGUACAAGCCUGCACCCCUUACAUGCUUUCAGUGAGAGAAAAAAACAUUUACUUUCGUUUUUAUAUUGUUUUUGUACUUGGAUUGAAAUUUUACUUCUUUCUAUAAUGAAAAAGGGAAAAGGAGGAAA